CUCGGCCGAUCCUCCCACCCUUUGUGUACCUACCUCUGUUGCUUUGGCGGGCCGCGGUCCUCCGCGGCCGGCCCCCCUCCCCGGGGGGUGGCCAGCGCCCGCCAGAGGACCAUCAAACUCCAGUCAGUAAACGAUGCAGUCUGAAAAACAUUUAAAAACUAAAACUUUCAACAACGGAUCUCUUGGUUCUGGCAUCGAUGAAAAACGCAGCGAAAUGCGAUAAGUAAUGUGAAUUGCAGAAUUCAGUGAAUCAUCGAAUCUUUGAACGCACAUUGCGCCCUUUGGUAUUCCGAAGGGCAUGCCUGUUCGAGCGUCAUUACAACCCUCAAGCUCUGCUUGGUAUUGGGCACCGUCCUUUGCGGGCGCGCCUCAAAGACCUCGGCGGUGGCGUCUUGCCUCAAGCGUAGUAGAACAUACAUCUCGCUUCGGAGCGCAGGGCGUCGCCCGCCGGACGAACCUUCUGAACUUUUCUCAAGGUUGACCUCGGAUCAGGUAGGGAUACCCGCUGAACUUAAGCAUAUCAGUAAGACGAGAGGAA
rnacentral:rRNA from 1 species